UACGAAGGGGGCUAGCGUUGCUCGGAAUCACUGGGCGUAAAGCGCACGUAGGCGGCUUUCUAAGUCAGGGGUGAAAUCCUGGAGCUCAACUCCAGAACUGCCUUUGAUACUGGGAGCUCGAGUCCGGAAGAGGUGAGUGGAACUCCGAGUGUAGAGGUGAAAUUCGUAGAUAUUCGGAAGAACACCAGUGGCGAAGGCGGCUCACUGGUCCGGUACCUGACGCUGAGGUGCGAAAG
rnacentral:rRNA from 1 species